UUACUUACCUGGACGGGGUCAAUGGAUGACCAUGAAGGCCCAUUGCCUAAGCCUGUGACUUCCAUUGCACUACGGAGGGGUGCUCGCUUAAGGUCUGUCCAAGUGAUGGAACCUGCGUCAUAAUUUGUUGCGGUGGGGGCCUGUGUUCGCGCGGCCCCUUU